rnacentral:rRNA from 1 species
AGUGAACGCUGGCGGUAGGCCUAACACAUGCAAGUCGAACGGCAGCACAGUAAGAGCUUGCUCUUACGGGUGGCGAGUGGCGGACGGGUGAGGAAUACAUCGGAAUCUACUUUUUCGUGGGGGAUAACGUAGGGAAACUUACGCUAAUACCGCAUACGACCUACGGGUGAAAGCAAGGGAUCUUCGGACCUUGCGCGAUUGAAUGAGCCGAUGUCGGAUUAGCUAGUUGGCGGGGUAAGGGCCCACCAAGGCGACGAUCCGUAGCUGGUCUGAGAGGAUGAUCAGCCACACUGGAACUGAGACACGGUCCAGACUCCUACGGGAGGCAGCAGUGGGGAAUAUUGGACAAUGGGCGCAAGCCUGAUCCAGCCAUACCGCGUGGGUGAAGAAGGCCUUCGGGUUGUAAAGCCCUUUUGUUGGGAAAGAAAAGCAGCAGGUUAAUACCCCGCUGUUCUGACGGUACCCAAAGAAUAAGCACCGGCUAACUUCGUG